AUGAUGACACUCGCAGAGCUGCUAGUUGUUUUGUCCAGGGCCCUGGACUACCUUGUCAGCAUCAACACACAUGCCAAGGAAUGCUUUGAGCACCAAGAUAGUCCUCGUCUUCAAGGUGGCAGUAGGUGGCCUUGGAGAUCGCAGGACUAGAAAAUAAAGGAAUCUAUAAAGGAGACCAAGAAACCAGUGGGAAGUACAUGUUUUCAGCCUACAUGGAUGGAUGGACAAGUUCUGCUUUAGUAAUAGGAUGUCCACUCUGACUCUAAAAAUAGUAAUGUUUCCCAUUGACAUUGGGGAGGCUCCCAAAGGCCAAGACAUGGAGACAGAAGCUCAUCAGAACAAGCUAGAAGAAGUGACUAAUGAGCUAGCAGUAGCAGUGACCACUGUGAAGCACGAACAGGAGUACUUGGAAGUCUGGGAAAGAAUACACAGAGCCAUCAAUGACAACACAAACAGCAGAGUGGUCCUUUGGUCCUUCUUUGAAGCUCUUGUUCUAGUUGCCAUGACAUUGGGACAGAUCUACUACCUGAAGAGAUUUUUUGAAGUCCAAAGAGCUGUUUAAAAGGCCUUUUCCUGUUGAUCCCAAAUUCAUGAUUUACUCGUUUACCAAACACCUUGGUCAUAAUAAUGUCAUUAGUUUAUACAUUUUUAUUUUCUGAACGUUCAUGACUU